rnacentral:rRNA from 1 species
UAGGGAAUCUUCGGCAAUGGACGAAAGUCUGACCGAGCAACGCCGCGUGAGUGAAGAAGGUUUUCGGAUCGUAAAACUCUGUUGUUAGAGAAGAACAAGGACGGUAGUAACUGAACGUCCCCUGACGGUAUCUAACCAGAACGCCACGGCUAACUACGUGCCAGCAGCCGCGGUAAUACGUAGGUGGCAAGCGUUGUCCGGAUUUAUUGGGCGUAAAGCGAGCGCAGGCGGUUUCUUAAGUCUGAUGUGAAAGCCCCCGACUCAACCGGGGAGGGUCGUUGGAAACUGGGAGACUAGAGUGCAGAAGAGGAGGGUGGAAUUCCAUGUGUAGCGGUGAAAUGCGUAGAUAUAGGGAGGAACACCAGUGGCGAAGGCGGCUCUCUGGUCUGUAUCUGACGCUGAGGCUCGAAAGCGUGGGGAGCAAACAGG